rnacentral:lncRNA from 1 species
ACGAACAUGCAGAGCGAGAGACCGAUAAAGAAGCGCACACAGGCGAAGGUGGAGAAGUCGGUGACCAGGGCCAUGCAGAAGACGGCGGGUGCGGUCAUGAGCAUGGCGGCAGCGGCGCCGUAGCGGGGACCUGUCGAGAACCCGGAAAGCAAGGAGGGGUACGUAAGUGCGCGUUCACCAGUUAUGCGGCUAAGAGCGGAGAUCUGGGAUGCUCGCGGUCCAUCCCUACCAAGGCCGCAGCGGAAUCAUGCCGACACCAGGCGUACAUGCAUCCCACACAAAGCAGGCUGCCCGCACGGGGCCUGCUGGCAGGUCUUGGCACGUAUACGCGCACACACAACAAUGGGCCACAUGCCUCCGACGUCCUCAUGAAUGAAAUACGCAUGCAGCUUCAAAGCGAACUCACCUACGACGUCGACGAAGAUGCCCAUGAAGAGACGCGCCGCGAUGGCACCGCACACGGCGGAGACGCCGGCGUUGCCCACCUCCGACUUGGUCAGGAACAGGUCAUCACGGAUAACGGGCGCGAGCGAGGCAGGCGCAAAUGUAGCGACGAAGGACAUGAAGAAGCAAAUCCAGGACAGGUGGAAGGCCAUCAUGCUGCGGAGGAGAGGAGAAGGAGGGAAGGGCCAUGGGAAGGGGCGGCGGGGGCGUCAGGGUAAGGGCGUUUGGGCGUUUGAUGGUGUGUUGGCGCCAUGCCCGGAGUCGCUAACGACUGGCGGGAGCCGUAAACGAACUGACGGCUUGACAUCAAAGCAGUUCUACAUGACCCUGUGCCGCGUCGAGCCAAAAUUCCGAGCGCGCGCCGUCGCUCAACACCCGCGACUCAAAGACGACCAUGCCAGGAUGGCACGGGGCCUCGCUAGCUCGCGCUGCUCGAUCGAACGUCUGCACGCCCCCGCCCCUCCGACAGCCCGGCUCACUGUGGUUGCGUGAAGCGCCAUACCGGCACAUAUUUAGCUUUCCCCUCGGAGUCGAGCGCAUAUGGGUACUUCUUCUCAACGGUGGCCAUCUUUAUAAAUCUCGUGUUCCACUAAGUUGUAUUAAGAAACACGGGUUGUGAACUACCGAAUUUAUGGGGGCCGAUGGAGAUGAAAACUCUGCUGCGCCCCUUCGUGCACGGGGCGCACCCACUUUUCGUUUCCACAGUGACCCCUCGUCAACGGCCAGCGCAUCGCAUCUGAAAUGUCUCGUUGUGGUCCAAUUAUUCACUGGAGCCGCGGAAGGGGCGCGUCUCAAGCUUCAGCGUCCGCAAAGCCACGUCCGUGUCUGACUAAUGACAGCCUCGAUCGCAAACGCUGCGUCCUUAUUUGCACGCAAAGCUUGUGCUCGCCCGCAGACGAGCAGGCACAUGUGCUCGGUCUUAGCACGUGUGCCGGUCUUUGUUCGUUUGGCCGAGAAGUUUUUUAACGGCACGUGAGGCGCCACGGGGGAGUGGAAAGCGCGAGGACCCCCGACAUGAGUAACGCAACUCCGUUUUGCAGGGCUGAGUUUUGCCGCGCCCUGAUGGCCAGUUAGAACUCGGAGCCAGCCGCGCAGUACGGGCCACGAGGUGGGCGCGCAGUUGGCUUUCGUGUCGUCACCGUCACAUACAGGCAGAUGGGCAGGCGCAUGGCGGGAGGCAUAUGUGUGCACAUGCUUGGACGUGCGAAGGCGGGGUCCAAGGCGCGCCAGUAAUCCUCGUGAAUGAAUCAUGCUUAGGUGCGGUGCUGCAGGGAUAGGGGCAGGGCAGCGUGGCGUAGUCACGAUGUGAUAAUGCGCGCGUAUUCCCAUACCCACGUCCCAGACCCCAGCACGAAGUAUCAAGUUGCAACGGAAUUGCGGUACCGAAUGAAGAGCGGGAGAGGGAGUUUGUGUGUGUGUGUGUGUGUGUGUGUGUGUGUGUGUGUGUGUGUGUGUGUGUGUGUGUGUGUGUGUGUGUGUGUGUGUGUGUGCGUGCGUGCGUGCGUGGAUGCGCUUGGUGCGUUGGUGCCAAUGCAGCCUGAUUAAUCACACCUGGCCUCACUGCUACAGCCUUUUCAGCAGUGUUGCACGCACCACAGUUCAAAAAGGCUGAAGCGUUGCAAGAGAAAGACGCAGCGCACAGGGAAGGAUGAUGUUUCUUCGAUAUUUACAGUCCGCGGUGUCCUGGGAUCGCUGUCCCGACCCGUGGGAUGUACGCGCGCGGCCCCUGCAGCAGGCUGUGAUUGGCUGCUCAUGCACACACGCAUCUCACCAUCCGCGCUCAUAUCCUUUUGGCACGGAAGCAGCAUCAACUACACACAUUGCGUUGGCUACUCCCACACUCAGCUUAGUACAAAAGCAGUUGUAAAAUACAUUGACUCUGUGCUUCAGCCGCACAGUGUCAUCUGCAAUAACGCUCUCCUUAAUCACCGCACACCUGAACAUCUAUCUUCAUCCUAUACUCCUACCCCAUCUAAUUCAAACCCUCUGGCCCCGCGCGGAUGCCGAAGCACUCCUGCCACACUGCACUCAAAAUACACUUCGUAGCACAAAGUGCUCAGACUCCCGACUCAUAAAUAAUUCUCAGCUCGAUUCGCACUCCGUCAAUGGUCUAUGCCGUGCAUGUGUCAAUGUCACACCAACCCAGCGCAACACACAUCACUGUCCGUCCGCUGCUUUUGUGUCAAAAGUCAAGAAGCUUCACACGCCGACCCUGGCGGCGCCAACUGAGAUCAACGUGGAUGCCACGAUCACUUCAGUGCCACAGCUACCUGGCUAAGGGGUCCGGAAGCGGCUGCCCUGUCACACAACAAGCACGGCGGCAAGCGCAAGCAAGAGCCAUAUGAUGCCCGGCCUCCCCAGUCUCCACACAUGCCACACUACGCAGAUGUGAGCCUUCGCUCGACACCAUGCGGUUGCAGCUAUAAAAGGCACAUAUGUAUAACGCCGUCUGGCUCAUGCGGAAGUCGGGCAGGCUCAUGCGGGCGCCUCGCUAGCUCUUAAGCUAGUUGGCGAGAGCCACGGAUGGCCCUAAUACCGUUGGGGCAUGUCACACCCGUGGAGGGCACUGUAUAACGCCGCCGCCUGCUCCAUGCCAGCGGUCCGGCCAAACACAUACACCGUGUGCCCGGCAUUCAACACACCCAUGCACGGGUACCUCCCAACUUUUCCCUAACUUAUUUAGUAUGAGCCCUGCCCAUAUGCAGAGCUUGCUAGUCGCUGCAGCCCGUAGCACCUAGGCUCUGAGCUAGCACGCAUCUUAUUAGACCACCACGGGCUUGGCAGCAGCGGGCUCCGAGUCGGAGUUGCUGUGGGACUCGAGCGGGGCGCCGGCGGCGCGCUUGUCCCGAGUGCCGCGCUGCGACCUGUUGAGUUGGUUGCAGAGGGGAGCGGGCAGUGCGGGCAGCAUGUCAGAGGACGGGCCGUGCAAUGGGCGCAUAAGGACUGGAGCUCAAGGUACAUGUGAGGGCCCACAGCGCAGCGCAGCGCACCCUCGCAUCCUCUUUGCAUGACGCAUGUUCUAGUAUACACAUUACACGUAUGCACACAAGCAAGCAAGCAGGCGCAUCCAUGCAAGAGACAAGCACUACUCACUUGGACUCCAUGGCGAAGCGCAUCGAGCCCUGGUGCAGGCCCGACGCCACCUCCUCCGCACUCCACUCGCGCAUGUAGUAGUCCUCCUCCUCGGCGCCCUCGCGCGGCCCAGUCAGCAUGGAGCCCCACAUGGGGAACCAGAUGAAGAACAGCGGCAGCGUGAGGCCGAUGGUCAUGAUACCCAUGUAGACAAACCCGUCGGCCUUGCUCAGGCUGCGGGGCGAGAGGGAAGAAGGAACGGGGGCGAAGGGAGGGAAGGGAGGGAGAGGGUCAGUCGACACUUGCUUGCGGGAGGCAUGAACUUGGAGAGCAUCAAGCCUACAUUGCGCGAGGUUGCAGAGAAAGGAGCGGCCAUCCUGGCGCUUUUUCCUAGGUAGGCCGCACUCCUAUGCACACAUGUGAAGUGUAAGGCUAAGCCUUUCUAGGUGGGUCAGUCCAGUACUCACGUCAGUUGCCACGGCGCGGUGCCAGCGAACCAGAUGGCUUGCGUGAUGGCGGCGCCGGUGUUGCCGCCGGCACCCACCAGACCAGACACGACACCGUAGGCGCGGCGCGACACAAAGGGCGUGAUGCCGAAGUGCAGGCCGCAUGCUUGCUGGCAGAAGAUGGAGAAGACGAUCAUGAUGACGAUGGUGGACGACAGAGAGUUGCUGACCUUGCCCAGAACGAUGCAGAAGAUGCCCCCCAGGGUCUGGAUGAUCCAGAGGGCCCAGAUGCGGCCGCGCAUGCCGAACGGCUUGGCAACCAAAUCAGAGAUCAUGCCGCCAGUAGCACGAGUGAAGAGGUUCAUGAGGCCGAAGAUGGCGCCGAGGGCGCCCGCCACCGCAAGGUUGAGGCCAAACUGGUCAAAGAGGUACUCCACAAUGACGUUGUCAACUGUCAGCUCGACGCCGAAGGAGUAGCCGUAGGUCAGGGCCAGAAUCCAAGACCUGGGGGUGGCGGGUGGGCGAGGGUGGGAAGGGUGGGGGAGCGGGGCAAAGGCUUAGCUGCGUGGGAGUUUGGAGGCAAGACCAGCGUAACUGUCAGGCGGGGCACUAGGUGGCAUUGGCGCUAUAUCAAGAAGUGGCAGACAUGAAGCGGCAGGGUUUGACAGUGUCAUAGGCACGGACCCACGCACACGCACGCACACGCAGACACUUGAAACGCACCUGUAGUUGCCGAGGCCGCACUUGACGACUGGCCACAUGGCGCCCUUGGCCUUGAGCGUUCCCUCCUUCUUCAGGUCGCGGUAAUCCUUGCCGCUGGGGUGGUCAAUGCCCAGGAGCAGGGUCAGGGUGGCGGUGAGGAUGUAGAUGCCACCGGGGACGAAGAAAGCCCAACGCCAGGCCUGGUAGCCGGGAACGCCGCCGUCCUUGAUGCCCUGGUAAAUGAGCGGCAUGAUGAAGUGGCAAGCGCCGCCACCCAUGUUGCCCCAGCCGGCGGCGAUGGCGUUGGCGGUGCCGACAAUCUUGACGUUGAACAUGGUACCGCACCAGAACUGGCAGCACACGAACAUGCAGAGCGAGAGACCGAUGAAGAAGCGCACGCAGGCGAAGGUGGAGAAGUCGGUGACCAGGGCCAUGCAGAAGACGGCGGGUGCGGUCAUGAGCAUGGUGGCGGCAGCGCCGUAGCGGGGACCUGUCAAAGGGGAAGCAGGAGAGCGGCAGGGGCGGGGCGAGUCAGACCAGAUGUGUUUCCCUGCUAGCAGGCUUUUCCUACGCACCCGAGCCGGUCCUCACCC